CUAACGCCCGCAACUUCUCAUCCUUUUCCAGAUGGCUCCUCCGCCCUUGACCCUUGGGGAUCUCGCCUCCCCCUCCCCCCAUCAUUUUGCUACUAGUAUACAUGACUAGCACUAGUACUAAGUUCCAUCCACUGGGAUCAUUAUUGUCUGCGAAAAUGCUUUUCUUAUAUUGCCUACUCUCUACUACCAGCAUUGUCAAUUAAACGUUGGAAUUCUGCUACCUCGCUUCUACUAUGUUCACUGGAAUUUUAUUUUCAACCGCAUCAGUGGACCAUGUUACAGACGUUUCGGUAUCAAAUCAUUUAUGGCUUCAGUUACAUAGUCCACCAGAGCUCCUUCAAUCCAAAUCCAUGUAGAAAGGAGUGUUAUCUCUUUCUGAAUUCCUUUGUUUGUCAAGUCAUCGUGCUACACAGUAUAUGCUACCAUUACUGCACUGGCCAUUUUAGAAGAUUGUUCGGCAAUCUCUAUGACAUUCAUUGUUGAUUGAUCCUGGCACGCGCAUUGUUACCAAUUAUGCUCAUGUCCUGUUUCCCUCUUAUUUGUCUGCUCCAUCUUUAAUAAAAUUCUGCAAUAGCACUGAUGUACAGUUGCUUCCAUUAUUGAUCUUGGGUGUUGUACUACCAUUUCACUACUCACCAAGAAAUCAGGGAUUUACACUGUGUCACAUCUAUUUCGAUUAAGUCUUCCAGUUUUCAAGAUGGUUCUACAAGCACAAUCAAUCCUAGCCACAGGACUUAUUACCCCAUGUAUAUUUACAUGGUGGAUAUGAGCUGAAUAUGCCAGGAAUCAAGUCAAUGACAAGACGAGCAAGAUGCAACACAAUUUUAUUGGAGCUAUAACAUGACAGGAAACAUAUUGUUAAAAAAGUUUGCACAUGUGACUUUGACCAUUGAAUCACAAAAGAGCGAAUAUUCCAAGGUCCAAGCACACUGUCAUGCAUUAUAUUGGCAUGUGAAGGCAUGUACAGUGAGGUGCUGUUGCUGAUCUUGGGUGUUAUUGUACCUUCUCACCACUCACAAAGAAAUCAGGGGAUCGAUACUGUGUAGCAGCUGUCUCGACUUGGUCUUCAUGUUUUCUCAAAAUAAAGCCACAAACACAGUUCAACAGUAACCACAUGUACCAUUGCUGUUUCUGAUUUUGUAAAUUUACUUCCUCUUCCCAUCAUGUGUCGACAAAUAAAUAUGCUCUUCUUUUUCUCUCUCGCCAUCUCACACACAAUAUCAUCUGUUUAAGCUUAUGACUUAAUGCUAUGAAUUAUUUGACAUGAUAUUUUUUACUCCACCAGGUGCUAUUACACCAAGUAUAUAUCAACAUGAUGGAGAUGAAGUGCAUAUUCCAGGAAUCGAGUCAACAUCAUAACAAGAAGUACAUUAUUCUAGCAACCAGCACGUGUGCCUCGACAAGUUCCCAAUUUAAGUCAGAUUGAGACAGGUCUCUUGGGCUUUUGUCACUAUAUAAGCUUGUGAUUGCACUGUCAUGCACUCGAAACAUCUUUUCCUCCAUGUUGUUCAUGGUCCGCUGGAGCAAUGUCAUUGAUGUUAUCUAUGCUGAUAAUUUAGGGUUGACCAGAAGUAGAUAAAACUGUCUAAGCUAGUCUAAGGAUUAUUCUUGGUAGCAGCGCCCUUAUGGCAACCUCAGGAGCAUAUUUCUGUGUUAUUUCGGCACUGUUUGGCUUCUAACUGGCCAAGCAAGGGCAGCUCCUCUAAUUGGGAGAAUUGGUUGGAGAAAUCAGCCUCAAAUAUAUGAGCCACACAAGAUCCAGUGACUUGUUCAGAUGGAGUGAUGAACUUAUCCUGCAGGGAGCUUUGUUGAAGCCUGGCUUGACUUAUCGGCGCCAUGAUCAUAUAUUGAUUGACGCUGCUACUGGUUGGGAGGUGAAGCUGCUGCUACUGGAGGAGGGAGGGUCCACAUGGGCAUCAGUCACCAACGGACAUCAACAGAGACCGACGGGGUCACGGGUUAGACGGAUCGAAUAACGGACAUCAACAAAGAAGAUGAAUCCGGCUUCAAAAAAAAAAAGAAAAAAGAUGAAUGCAGUUGCUUGCUUGGGAGCCCUGCCUCUGCCUUGCUGGCUGGCUGCCACUGUGCCCUGCAAGGGACCCAUCCCGUCCCAUCGUACGGGCUGGAUGGCGAUGCCUCACCCACCUUCUCCUCUCAUCUUCACCAGUUGAGUUGGGGCCAGCUAGCUAUCCAUCCAGGAGAGAGCAAGGAGAUGGUUCUCUUCAAGAGGAUCAUUCAGAUCUUAAAACCUUCCUCAAUCUCCUCUAAUUCACGGUCCAGUCUGGUUGUUUCUCGUUGCUGUGUUGUGUGUUUGCAUUGGUUGGUUAAAGACACACCGGAUCGUUUCUCUUCUUUUUCUUUUUUCGAAAUAAAUCUUCUUCUUUUUCUCAAGGAACGAAAACGUAUCAACAGUGGCAGUCGCGAUCCAUCCAAUUCCCGGUGGUUUGAGAACGAGCAACUCGCUGCCUGAUGGUGCUGGCCCUGCCGUGCAAUCAGUGGCCGCCACGUGUACCACCCGCUCCUCGCUGCAAGCCCACGUGGCAGGCCGAGCCAUCUAAACGUCGCCUCCCAACAAUAUCCACAUCCUGUGGCUGCUGGCUGCUGAGGAGUGAGGAUGCUAUUCCUGUGCUGCUUCAGAGUGGUGGACGAAGAAGAAGAAGAAAGAAUACUACUUGCUCCUAGUCAGCUAGCUGGAGCAAAGGAAAGGAAAUGAAAGCACCCCAAUAAUCCAUCCCCUCUCCUGCUAGCAAGGCAGGGGAAACUUUCCAGCUUCUCUGCUUGGCAGCUAGUACCAACCAGUUGCCUCUUUUUUUUUCUGUCCUGGUCUAGUUUUUUAUUUAUUAAUUUACGCCUUACAAAACCAAACCAAACCAAACCAAGCCAAGCUAGAGAAGACACCAGCACUGAAUCCUGGAAAGGGUGGAGUCGCGAUUCAAAACAAGUUCAUCCAGAGCAGCAGCACACAGUAUGAAGUUCAUCCCCGCCUGCUGCGUUGGCAGGCCUGCCAUAGGGUGUGCCAAAUCCAGUCCUGAAUGCAAAACGGAAACACAUUAGGCAAGUUAGAUCUCUUUAUUA